rnacentral:lncRNA from 1 species
GUGGACUGGCUCUUUUUAAGAGAAGUUUUCAACUGGCUCUUUCAAGAGAAGUUUUCAAACAACUAAAUGUAUUCAAGAGAAGUUUUCAAACAACCAAAUGUAUUCCGUGUUGAGAUUUUGUUCCCGCCAAUUCAUGUAGCUCAAGUGGUAUCUUGGCUGCACAGGUAAGGGCCAUAUAAAUCUCAAGUUGAUAUGAUUCGAGUCGCCUACGCUCAAUUAACUCUAAAUUAUUAUUCACAUGUUCUAUACUAACACCCUCUCAUCAAUCUUAGAUCAUAUCUCCUUCACGAGGACAAUACCUUCAAUUGUUAGGAGUCCAAAAGGCUGCCCAACUGACACCUUGAAGACUUUUACCGGAAAAACCAACCCACCCUCAACAAAAACGUAAUGCUACUAAAGAAAAACCAGUUCUGUCUGCAAAAGCCAUUCAACAUAACAAUAAGAUUAAGCCAUUUUUUAACUUUCUUCCUUGAAAGAAUGCAUUCCUGGUGGAAAAUUAUGAAAGAUAACAGCAGAUUAAACAAGGUACCUAUGUUACUUGGAAUCGAGAGUAUAUGGGAUAAGAAUAAUGUCUCCUCCAAUACGAGCAUGUCUAACUUUUUCCGAGCUUUUCCUUGUAUAUUCUCAUACUUGUGCUUGGAUUCGAGUUUACCUCACACAUACGAAGUAAAUCCGUCGACAGAAAAGGAAAUUUUUAUGUUUCUAAUCAGUAUUGAAAUAUGACCUUAAGAUGUAGGCUAGUCUUUUAUGAAUUUUUUUCCCACAACAUAAUAAUGAUAUACAA